GACAUUGGAGCUGAGAUGAAAGG
rnacentral:misc_RNA from 1 species